CACGUAGGCGGAUGUGUCAGUCAGGGGUGAAAUCCCGGAGCUCAACUUCGGAACUGCCCUUGAUACAGCACAUCUGGAGUCCGGAAGAGGUGGGUGGAAUUCCUAGUGUAGAGGUGAAAUUCGUAGAUAUUAGGAAGAACACCGGUGGCGAAGGCGGCCCACUGGUCCGGUACUGACGCUGAGGUGCGAAAGCGUGGGGAAGCAAACA
rnacentral:rRNA from 1 species